UAAAAACCCCGACUUCGGAAGGGGUGUAUUUAUUAGAUACAAAACCAAUGCCCUUCGGGGCUCUUUGGUGAUUCAUGAUAACUAUACGAAUCGCACGGCCUUGCGCCGGCGAUGGUUCAUUCAAAUUUCUUCCCUAUCAACUUUCGAUGUUUGGGUAUUGGCCAAACAUGGUUGCAACGGGUAACGGAGGGUUAGGGCUCGACCCCGGAGAAGGAGCCUGAGAAACGGCUACUACAUCCAAGGAAGGCAGCAGGCGCGCAAAUUACCCAAUCCCGACUCGGUGAGGUAGUGACAAUAAAUACUGAUACAGGGCCCUUUCGGGCCUUGUAAUUGGAAUGAGUACAAUUUAAAUCCCUUAACGAGGAACAAUUGGAGGGCAAGUCUGGUGCCAGCAGCCGCGGUAAUUCCAGCUCCAAUAGCGUAUAUUAAAGUUGUUGUGGUUAAAAAGCUCGUAGUUGAACCUUGGGCCUGGCUGGCCGGUCCGCCUCACCGCGUGCACUGGUCCGGCCGGGCCUUUCCCUCUGUGGAACCCCAUACCCUUCACUGGGCGUGGCGGGGAAACAGGACAUUUACUUU
rnacentral:rRNA from 1 species